AGAGUUUGAUCCUGGCUCAGAAUCAACGCUGGCGGCGUGCCUAACACAUGCAAGUCGAACGAGAAAGUGGAGCAAUCCAUGAGUACAGUGGCGACCGGGUGAGUAACACGUGACCAACCUGCCUUCGAGUGGGGAAUAACUCCGGGAAACCGGAGCUAAUACCGCAUAACAUCUUUGGAACGCGAGUUCCGUUGAUCAAAGCAGUAAUGCGCUUGAAGAGGGGGUCGCGGCUGAUUAGCUAGUUGGUAGGGUAAUGGCCUACCAAGGCUGAGAUCGGUAUCCGGCCUGAGAGGGCGCACGGACACACUGGAACUGAAACACGGUCCAGACUCCUACGGGAGGCAGCAGUGGGGAAUUUUGCGCAAUGGGGGAAACCCUGACGCAGCAACGCCGCGUGGAGGAUGAAGUCCCUUGGGACGUAAACUCCUUUCGACCCGGAAGAUACUGACGGUACGGGUGGAAGAAGCACCGGCUAACUCUGUGCCAGCCGCCGCGGUAAUAC
rnacentral:rRNA from 1 species